AGUAACGGCGAGUGAAGCGGCAACAGCUCAAAUUUGAAAUCUGGCCUCGGCCCGAGUUGUAAUUUGCAGAGGAUGCUUCUGGCGACGUGCCUUCCGAGUCCCCUGGAACGGGGCGCCACAGAGGGUGAGAGCCCCGUACGGUUGGAUGCCGAGCCUGUGUGAAGCUCCUUCGACGAGUCGAGUAGUUUGGGAAUGCUGCUCUAAAUGGGAGGUAAAUUCCUUCUAAAGCUAAAUACCGGCCAGAGACCGAUAGCGCACAAGUAGAGUGAUCGAAAGAUGAAAAGCACUUUGGAAAGAGGGUUAAACAGUACGUGAAAUUGCUGAAAGGGAAGCGCUCGCGACCAGACUCGAGCCGGGCGGAUCAUCCAGCGUUCUCUCGCUGGUGCACUUCGCCCGUGCCCGGGCCAGCAUCGGUUCUGACGGGGGGACAAAAGCCCGGGAAACGUAGCUCCCCCUCGGGGAGUGUUAUAGUCCCUCGCCCAAUACCCCCGCCGGGACCGAGGACCGCGCCUCGUGCAAGGAUGCUGGCGUAAUGGUCGUCAGCGACCCGUCUUGAAACACGGACCAAGGAGUCGAACAUUUGUGCGAGUGUUUGGGUGGAAAACCCUCACGCGUAAUGAAAGUGAACGGAGGUGGGAGCCUCGGCGCACCAUCGACCGAUCCUGAAGCUUGUCGGAUGGAUUUGAGUAAGAGCAUAACUGUUCGGACCCGAAAGAUGGUGAACUAUGCCUGUAUAGGGUGAAGCCAGAGGAAACUCUGGUGGAGGCUCGCAGCGGUUCUGACGUGCAAAUCGAUCGUCAAAUAUGGGCAUGGGGGCGAAAGACUAAUCGAACCAUCUAGUAGCUGGUUUCCGCCGAAGUUUCCCUCAGGAUAGCAGUGCUGAUCUCAGUUUUAUGAGGUAAAGCGAAUGAUUAGGGACUCGGGGGCGCUAUUUAGCCUUCAUCCAUUCUCAAACUUUAAAUAUGU
rnacentral:rRNA from 1 species